rnacentral:rRNA from 1 species
UACAGAGGGUGCAAGCGUUGUUCGGAAUUACUGGGCGUAAAGCGCGUGUAGGCGGCUUGUUAAGUCCUGUGUGAAAGCCCUGGGCUCAACCCAGGAAGUGCGUAGGAAACUGGCGUGCUGGAGUGCCGGAGAGGAUGGCGGAAUACCCGGUGUAGAGGUGAAAUUCGUAGAUAUCGGGUGGAACACCUGUGGCGAAGGCGGCAUCCUGGACCGGUAUUGACGCUGAGGCGCGAAAGCCAGGGGAGCAAACGGG